CCUACGGGAGGCAGCAGUAAGGAAUAUUGGUCAAUGGACGCAAGUCUGAACCAGCCAUGCCGCGUGAAGGAUUAAGGUCCUCUGGAUUGUAAACUUCUUUUAUUUGGGACGAAAAAGGGCCUUUCUAGGUCAACUGACGGUACCAGAUGAAUAAGCACCGGCUAACUCCGUGCCAGCAGCCGCGGUAAUACGGAGGGUGCAAGCGUUAUCCGGAUUCACUGGGUUUAAAGGGUGCGUAGGCGGGUAGGUAAGUCAGUGGUGAAAUCCUAGAGCUUAACUCUAGAACUGCCAUUGAUACUAUCUAUCUUGAAUAUUGUGGAGGUAAGCGGAAUAUGUCAUGUAGCGGUGAAAUGCUUAGAUAUGACAUAGAACACCUAUUGCGAAGGCAGCUUACUACGCAUAUAUUGACGCUGAGGCACGAAAGCGUGGGGAUCAAACAGGAUUAGAUACCCUGGUAGUCCACGCCCUAAACCUAUGAUUACUCGACAUUUGAGAUACACAUUAAAGUGUUCUGAGACGAAGACAUUAAGUAAUACCACCGUACGGAAGGUACGUACCGCCGACGGAGUAGUAAACGUACGAAAGAAAGUUAGUACGGACGUAGAGACGUUACGCCGACGGACGACGACGAGGGGAGGUAGG
rnacentral:rRNA from 1 species